CCCCCGCAACUCCGACAACCGGAGACGUCACGUGACGCUACUGUAUUUAAAGGGCGAUACGACGCCACGUGUGAAGCCACGUGCCGGCGUCCAACAGCUGCACUCGCAUAUCCCAUCGCGUGAGCAGGCCAAGACCAUCGGGCUCACUUAACCCACAAGCGGCCACCACCACCGCCCGUGGUUGUCAUCACAGAAUUGUAACAACGAAAGAGAUAUCGGCAGGGCCUUCCCGUCCGUGACCUUCCCGUCCGUGACCUUCUGACACCGAUCGGUGAGAAGGAGGCAAUGGCGUCUCCGCUGGGGGUCGGGGGUCCGGCGCACGAAGCCGACCAGGUGACGCUGCCCUACGCGUCCGUGCAGCGCCUCGUGGGCGAGCUGGUGCCGUGCCUGCGCCUGACGGCGGGCGCACGAGACCUGCUGCGCGUGGCGUGCACGCGCUUCGUGCGCCACGUGUCCAGCGAGGCGAACACGGCGUGCGCGCAUGCGCAGCGCAAGACCAUCUCCCCUGAGCACGUCAUCCAGGGUACACACGGCUCCAGCACUGGAGCACUGUGUGUGUGUGUGUGUAACACUGGGGCACUGUGUGUGUGUGUAACACUGGGGCACUGUG